rnacentral:rRNA from 1 species
GAUGAACGCUGGCGGCGUGCUUAACACAUGCAAGUCGAACGAGAAAUGUAGACGGAAACCUUCGGGCGGAAGCCUUCAUUUCGAGUGGCGGACGGGUGAGUAACGCGUGGGUAACCUGCCUCAUACAGGGGGAUAACAGUUGGAAACGACUGUUAAUACCGCAUAAGACCACAGCAUCGCAUGAUGCGGGGGUAAAAACUCCGGUGGUAUGAGAUGGACCCGCGUUCGAUUAGCCAGUUGGCGGGGUAACGGCCCACCAAAGCGACGAUCGAUAGCCGAUCGGAGAGGAGGACCGGCCACAUUGGGACUGAGACACGGCCCAAACUCCUACGGGAGGCAGCAGUGGGGAAUAUUGCACAAUGGGGGAAACCCUGAUGCAGCGACGCCGCGUGAGUGAAGAAGUACUUCGGUAUGUAAAGCUCUAUCAGCAGGGAAGAAAAUGACGGUACCUGAGUAAGAAGCCCCGGCUAACUACGUG